UUCAAUAAAAAACAGAGAUCAAAUAAAGAAUAGUUAUAGUUAUAGUUUGCUUUAAAUAUAAAGAAUAAUCUUAACAGAUUAAUAACUCACUUAUAAUAAUAUUAAUAAAAUUAAUUAAUUAUUAUUAAUAGCUAUGAACUAUGAUUGUAUUUAAAUUUUAAAAAAGGUUCACCGAUGACCAAGCAUUAUUUUGACAUCUGUUGUUAAAAGUUAAGGAAAUUCCUGGAAAACGGUAAUAUUCCAGAGAAUAUCCAGUGAGUCAUGGGAAAAAUAUCGUUCCUCGUGGAAAAAAAUACAACCUAUAUUUUUGGUGCCAAAUGGAUAAGUAAUCAACAAGUAAUCGGGUCAAUCACAGAUUUAUCAGAAGAAACUAAGUGAUAGAGCUAAUUAACAUUGAAGAAAUAAAAUUUGAUAUCAUGUGGCGAAUUUAAAAAGUUAUGAUAUGAAUUUAAAAUUAAAAAGCUCUUUCUUA